rnacentral:rRNA from 1 species
UACGAAGGGGGCUAGCGUUGCUCGGAAUGACUGGGCGUAAAGGGCGCGUAGGCGGCUUGCACAGUCAGGCGUGAAAUUCCUGGGCUCAACCUGGGGACUGCGCUUGAGACGUGUGGGCUUGAGUGGGGAAGAGGGUCGUGGAAUUCCCAGUGUAGAGGUGAAAUUCGCAGAUAUCAGGAGGAACACCGGUGGCGAAGGCGGGUCUCUGGGCCGAUACUGACGCUGAGGCACGAAAGCUAGGGUAGCGAACGGG